rnacentral:rRNA from 1 species
GAGGAAUAUUGCGCAAUGGAGGAAACUCUGACGCAGCCAUGCCGCGUGAAGGAUUGAAGGCCCUAUGGGUUGUAAACUUCUUUUAUACGGGAAAAAAACCUCGAUCGUGAUCGAGGCUGAUGGUACCGUAAGAAUAAGCACCGGCUAACUCCGUGCCAGCAGCCGCGGUAAUACGGAGGGUGCAAGCGUUAUCCGGAUUUAUUGGGUUUAAAGGGUCCGUAGGCGGAUCAUUAAGUCAGCGGUGAAAUCUCCCGGCUCAACCGGGAAACUGCCGUUGAUACUGAUGAUCUUGAGUACGAGUGAAGUUGGCGGAAUGUGUGGUGUAGCGGUGAAAUGCUUAGAUAUCACACAGAACACCUAUUGCGAAGGCAGCUGACUAACUCGUAACUGACGCUGAGGGACGAAAGUGUGGGGAUCAAAC